rnacentral:misc_RNA from 1 species
UACGAAGGGGGCUAGCGUUGCUCGGAAUUACUGGGCGUAAAGGGCGCGUAGGCGGCGUGAGUAGUCAGGCGUGAAAUUCCUGGGCUUAACCUGGGGGCUGCGCUUGAUACGCUUAUGCUAGAGGAUGGAAGAGGCUCGUGGAAUUCCCAGUGUAGAGGUGAAAUUCGUAGAUAUUGGGAAGAACACCGGUGGCGAAGGCGGCGAGCUGGUCCAUUACUGACGCUGAGGCGCGACAGCGUGGGGAGCAAACAGG